rnacentral:rRNA from 1 species
UACCAGCACCCCGAGUGGUCGGGACGAUUAUUGGGCCUAAAGCAUCCGUAGCCGGUUCUGCAAGUCCUCCGUUAAAUCCAACUGCUUAACAGAUGGGCCGCGGAGGAUACUAUAGAGCUAGGAGGCGGGAGAGGCAAGCGGUACUCGAUGGGUAGGGGUAAAAUCCGUUGAUCCAUUGAAGACCACCAGUGGCGAAGGCGGCUUGCCAGAACGCGCUCGACGGUGAGGGAUGAAAGCUGGGGGAGCAAACCGG